AUUGAACGCUGGCGGCAUGCUUUACACAUGCAAGUCGAACGGUAACAGGCCGCAAGGUGCUGACGAGUGGCGAACGGGUGAGUAAUGUAUCGGAACGUGCCCAGUCGUGGGGGAUAACGCAGCGAAAGCUGUGCUAAUACCGCAUACGACCUGAGGGUGAAAGCGGGGGAUCGCAAGACCUCGCGCAAUUGGAGCGGCCGAUGUCGGAUUAGCUAGUUGGUGGGGUAAAGGCCCACCAAGGCAACGAUCCGUAGCGGGUCUGAGAGGAUGAUCCGCCACACUGGGACUGAGACACGGCCCAGACUCCUACGGGAGGCAGCAGUGGGGAAUUUUGGACAAUGGGCGCAAGCCUGAUCCAGCCAUGCCGCGUGAGUGAAGAAGGCCU
rnacentral:rRNA from 1 species